rnacentral:lncRNA from 1 species
CCCAUGCAGAAUGCGCGCGAUCACCAGCUCGCCGCCCUCCACGCGGAACGUUACACCCUGGAGGUCAGAGGGAGUGUAAGAUGAGGCCCCAAUUGCUCCAAGUCAGAAUCUUCAAAUAGUCUCCUAAUAGGUCCUCCCUCAGCCCCCAGGCAUUUUCCCCAUCCCACCCCCCAGCCCCCAGCUUCAGCUCCUCACUCACUGACAAUCAUACCCACACGUGCACAUGCAUUCCUUGCUGUCUCCUUUCUUCCCCAAAAUUACUAGGACCUAGUUUAGGGAAGGAAGAAACCAAAGGACAAACCUUCCUUUCCAUCCCCUUGCCACAGAGGGUCAUUAGAAGUUACCAAAUUGUCCCCAGCUCCCAGGACCCUAUAUGCAUUGGCGUUCAAAGAUGGCUUCUUCCACCAGACAUCAUGGUUGGGUGGGGCCUUGAAGACCCUGAAGCCCAGGAUGAGGAAAUUAGGGAGGUAGAAUAACUUUCCCAGGGUCAAUGGGACUUGAACUUGCGUCUCCAGGCCCUCAACUCAGUGUUCCCAGCGAAUGAGGGGACAGGAAAUCAGAACACGGUGCCAGGAGCAGGCCCUGCACCUAUUUGUUGCUCUGCUGGCUCCGGGCUCCAUACCAAGGAGCGCUGAAAACAGAAAAGGAAUCCUUCGCCAGUGACCAGCCCAGUGGGGAGUGUUAGGUUAGAUGGGUCAGGAAGAAAAGAAUUCCAUUUCAAUAAUAUAUAUGAAGACCAUUUUUCCCCUCUGAAUCUUUGAAAGAUCAUUGCAGACAACACAAGCCACUUUACCCCAAAGUAUUUCAGCAUGUAUUUCAUAGGAACAAAGACAUUCUGCUGCAUAAACCACAAUACCAUUAUCACCUGCAAGAAAUUUAACAUCGAUUCAUUAAUACAUUAUGUAAGACAGUCCACAUUCAAAUGUUCACUCUUGUCCCAAAAGUAUCCUUUAUAAUUUUAUUUUUUCUGAUUCAGGAUCUAAUUGAUGAUCAUAUGUUGUAGUUGGUUGACAUAUCUUUUUAUUCUCCUCUAAUCUAGAACAGAUCCCAAUAACUUUUAGACUUUCAGAACAUUUGUUGUUUUGUUUUUUUUGUUUCUGUUUUUGUUUUGUAGGGACAGGGUCUCACUACGUUGCCUAGGCUAGUCUCAAACUCUUGGCUUCAAGUGAUCCUCCUGCUUCAGGCUCCCAAAGCCUGAGAUUACAGGCAUGAGCCACUGCACCCAGCCUAGACAUUUUUAGACUCCAGGCCAGUAGUUUUUAGGAUGCUCUACCACUAGAUUUAGUUGAUUGUUUCCUCAUGAUUAGACUUACGUUAAUCCUUUUGACAAGAGUUCUACGUAGGUGAUCUUGUGUCUUUGUGUCUUUCCCAUACUUUGAGACUAUGUGACUAUUCUGUUCCCCCAAAAUCCUUCACCAAUGGAUUUAGUGUCAAUUUAUGACCCUUGCCUAAAUGAGUUAUUAUACUGGAGGUUGCAAAAUAGUGAUUACCUAAUUCCCAUCAUUCCUUCUACAUUAUUGGCAUUCUGCUAUAAGAAUGAGCUUUUCAGCCAGGCACAGUGGCUCACGCCUGUAAUCCCUGCACUUUGGGAGGCCAAGGCAGGUGGAUUACCUGAGGUCAGGAGUUUGCAAAACAGCCUGGCCAACAUGGUGAAACCCCGUUUCUACUACAGAUAUAAAAAAUUAGCCUAGCAUAGUGGUGGGCGCCUGUAAUCCCAGCUACUCAGGAGGCUGAGGCAGGAGAACCGCUUGAACCUGGGAGGUGGAGGUUGCAAUGAGCCGAGAUCAUGCCAUUGCACUCCAGCCUGGGCAACAAGAGCAAAACUCCAGCUCAAAAAAAAAAAAAAAAAAGAAUGAGCUCUUCUUUUCUCCCUACCACCUUACUCCUCUUUCUCUCCUUCUCUCUCUCAUGAUAUCACUAUGAAUUUUUUUUAUUCCAUGUGUUCUAAUCCAUUACGAUCACUAUCUUCGUUGACCCAGUUUAUCCCAAAUUUGUCCAGUGGGAGCCCCAUUCACACCUCUGUCCUGUUGACAUGUUCCCAUCAGUCCUUGAGCAUCUUCUUCCCUUCUGGCACAGGCUCAUCUGAUGCAUUCCCUACCCCAGGUCUGGAAUCAGCAAUUUCUCCAAGGAACCCUGAUUCCUUUUAGCAGGAGAUAGUAUUUAGAAACCAAGAUGUGGACACUCAAUACCCAUUGUUUCUGGGCAUCAUUUCUUUGGCAGUCAUUAGUAGAUACUAAUGGCUCCAAAUAAAAUUAAAGGAUUUUUCUCAUCUUCCCCCAUUCCAUAUUUGUGUCUCCCUUCUCCUUCAGUGAGAACUUAUUUCCCAAUAACAUCAGUAUAUUUACUUAUUUGUUCUGUCCUUCAAUAUUCAAAGCAGUUUCAAAAUUGCUAUACAACUGCUACUACCUAUCACAAAUCUAUUAGUAAAAAUCAGCCGGGAAGGGUAGUAGGGGCGUAAGGGAUAAAAGACUACACACUGGGUACAGUGUAUACUGCUUGGGUGAUGGGUGCAUCAAAAUCUCAGAAAUCACCACUAAAGGCCAGGCGCAGUGGCUCAUGCCUGUAAUCCCGCACUUUGGGAAGCCAAGGCAGGAGGAUCACCUGAGGUCAGGAGUUUGAGACGAGCCUGACCAACAUGGUGAAACACCAUCUCUACCAAAAAUACAAAAUUAGCCGGGCAUGUGGCACAUGCCUGUAAUCCCAGCUACUCAGGAGGCUGAGUCAUGAGAAUCACUUGGACCCGGGAGGCAGAGGUUGCAAGGAGCUGAGAUCGCGCCACUGCCCUCCAGCCUGGGCAACAGAGCAAGACUCUGUUUCCAAAAAAAAAAAUUAAAUAAAUAUAUUGCCCUUUCUUACAUAAAACACAGAACACUGUAUAUACCCUUUGAUACCCUAGGGCUUUUAUUUAACUGGUUUGGUUUUCUGGCUUUUUAUUUAAAAAUAUGUCAUAGAAAUCACUCCAUGAAACUGCAUGGAGAUCUUCCUUUAUUAAUUAUUAUUGUUAGUUUGUUUGAGACAGAGUCUUGCUCUGUCACCCAGGAUGGAGUGCAGUGGCGCGAUCUCAGCUCACUGCAACCUCUGCCUCCCAGGUUGGGAUUACAGGCAUGAACCACCAUGCCCAUCUUAUUAUUUUAAUUACUGCAUUUGACUCCAUUGCAUGACUGGAUUCCUGUAAUUUAUUCAACCAGUCUCCAUGGGUAUUUAGGUUGUUUCUAAUACUUUGCUAUUGCAAAUAAUGUUGCAGUAAAUGACUCCGGCAUAGUAUUCUAUAUCUGUGGAGAAGAUCUUCCAUGUAAAUUCCUAGAAGUCUUGCUGGGUCAAGCAGCAAAUACAUACGUAAUUUUCUUAGAUAUUGACAAAUUCCCCUCCAUGGGACUUUGGCCAGUUUGCUCUCCUGCUAGCACUGUAUGAGGGAUUUUCUUGAAGCUCACCACCAGAGUGUUGAUCAAACAUUUGCAUGUCUGCCAAUCACAUGGAGGAGAAAUGAUCUCUCAUUGGGGCUUACUUUGCAUUUUGCUUAUUAUGAGUAAAGUCAAACAUCUCUCCAUAUGAUUAAGGACCAUCUGUAUAUCUUUUUCUGUGAACUGUCUACUCAUGUCUUUCCCAAUUUUUCUGUCAGGUCUUGGUUUUUAUUCUUUUCCCUAUUUUAAAAAAUGUUUUCUCUCUAUUGGGAAAAUUAGCCCUUUGUGAUAUUUCUUGUAAAUGAUUUCCCCCAGUUUGUCACUUGUCUUUUGACUCUGCUUGUGGUGUUUUUGCAUGCAAAAAAAAAAAAAAAAUUUAGGUCAGGUGCAGUGGUUCACACCUGCAAUCCCAACACUUUGGGAGGUCAAGGAGGAAGGACUGCUUGAGCCCAGGAGCUCAAGACCAGCCUGGGUAAGAUGGGAAGCCCCUGUUGCUACAAAAUAUUUUAAAAAUUCACCUGAGCAUUUUUAAUCCUCAUUUUAAUGCAUGGUGGCAUGCACCUGAUGUCCCUGCUACUCUUACUUGGGAGGCUGAGGUGGAAGGAUCACUUGAACCCAGGAGAUUGAGGCUGCAGUGAGCACUGUUUGCACUACUGCACUCCAGCCUGAGUGACAGAGCAAGACCCUGGCUCAAAAAACAAAUUUUUUAAUGUGGGUGAAUUUAAUAAUCUUUCAUGCAUCUGAAUUUUGAGGCAUAGUUUUUUGUUUUUUUGUUUUUUUUUUAAGGGAGGGCUUUUCCCAUAUACAGAGCCUUGUUUUCUUCUAGGACGUGUAUGAUUUAUAUUUUCACAUAGAGAUCUCUGAUCCGCUUGGAGUUUAUUCUGAUAUAUGAUGUGAGGAAUAAAUACACUUUGAUAUCUUUCAAAAUGACUAUCCAGAUGUUCCAAUACCAUUUAUUAAAAAUUCAUGGCAGGGCACAAUGGCUCACACCUGUAAUCCCAGCACUUUGGGAGGCCAAGGCAGGAGGAUCACUUGAGCCCAGGAGUUCAAGACAGCAAGACCCCAUCUCUAUUUUUUAAAAUUUUUUUAAUUAAAAAAAUUC